rnacentral:lncRNA from 1 species
GCCGAUUUCCGGUGUAAAGCCCGCCUUUUUCCCUUUUCUCCUGAGGCGACUUCCGGCCGGGUGCCGCGCUGGCGCCGCCAUGUUCCUGCAGUGCUAGGAGAACGAGGGCGGGGAGCGCGUCUACACCCUGCGGAAGGUGUCCCCGGACGGGGUCCCCACACGCUUGGCGCACCCCGCCCGCUUCUCCCCCGAUGAUAAAUUCUCCCGGCACCGCCUGGCCCUGAAGCGGCGCUUCGGGGUUUUGCCAACGCAGCGAGGCCGGACCCUGCUCUGAGGCACCUCAGAAAUCCCCUGAGGAGCCCUGAGAUGGCCCCGAGCUCCUGGGAGGGAUCCCCGCCAUGAGAGAAGGUCAAAUCACAGUGCCAGCAGACUGCACGGAAAUGAGGGGAAAGGAACAUUUUAAAGAGGAGGAAAAAUGAAAUAUUAAAGGUCGAGGGUCUCUGAGUUUUGUUCUGUCCCUGGCCAGAGGCGACACCCCGACUGGUGUCACCUGCACGUCGGUGGCCUCGCGGUGGCCGCAGUGCUGAGCGUGCUGGGGGUCGUCGUCCAGUGGGAAGUGCAAGUGCCGGAGCAAGGCCAGGUGAAACCCGGGGACAUUUGGGGACAAUUUGGGGACAUUCGGGGACAUUUGGGGUCAUCGGGGGAUUUGGGGACGUUGGGGGAUGACAUCGGGGACACUUUUUGGGGGAUUUGGGGACGUUUUGGGGACCUUGGGGACACUGAGGGGGAUUUGGGGUUGGGGGAUUGGGGACAUUUGGGGACAUCGGGGACAUUUGGGGGACACUUGGGGACAGUCUGGGGACACCUCAGUGUCCCCUCCCCUCCCCCGCAGGCACCGCCCCCCCCCCCCCCCCCCCGAGCUGUCACCUCUGGCUGGGACAGGAGCCUGAGCUGUCCCCAGGUGUCCCCAAAUGUCCCCAACAGGUGACACCGGAUGGGGGGGAGGGGUGGCAUUGAUUUCCCCCAAAUGUCCCCAAAUUUUCCCCAAAAUGUCCCCAAGAAAGGC